GGGAACAGGCCCACAGAGACGCUGGCAAGAGCUGUUGCAGGGAGGGCAGUGGAGGGGGAAAAGCUUCUUCCUAACAGCUCGGUCAGAAACCUACCUGCAGUGGAAUGGAGAGAAGCGAGGCUCUUUGGGGCCAGCCUCCGGCGCUUGGACACCUUGGAUCAGGUUGACAAACCUCAGGGGCCCAGUAAGAGCCCCCUGGCACCGACAUUCCCAUGGUUCAUCGACUAACAUCUAGAAGAAAACAAGUCCUGCUCCCUGUCUUUGUCCAAAGAGGACAAAACCUCCUGACAAGGAAGCAAGGCCUGGCUGAGGCUAACAGAGCAGAUUCUGUUUCCCACUUGGAGGGGAGGCGGCUGGCCACUCGAGGCUGCUGGCGUCUCCUGUGUGUCGGCGCUGUGCUGGCCCCUUUGUCUGGAUGCUUUCACCUUUGCAAAGGGCCAGUGCCAGGCCAGACCUUUGCUCCUUGGUGCUGCUUCCCUCACCACCUGCAAGCCUGCUCUUCGCCUUGGGACCCAUUAGCAUUUUUAAGUGGCAAAGUCAGGCAUCGUUAUGACAAAGGAGUACAGAGUCAGCAGAGACAUGGCCACCAAAAGCAGAGAAAAUGACAUGAGGUCUGCUGCCCACCUCUUAAGAAAGCACGUGAACCUGCUCUAUGCCACACACAGCUGGCUCAUGAGUGCAGACUAAUAUCAGGAGGCCUGAGUUUAAAUUCCAGCCCUGCUAUGAAUUACGGGACUUUGGGAGAGGGGCGUGUACAGUUAAGAUUGUGAAGUCAGACAGACCUUGUUCAAAUACUGGCUUCAGGACUUGCUAGCCAAGUGACCUUAGGCAAAUUACUUCAUCUUUCUGGGUCUCAGUUUCCUCAUCUGUAAAAUGGGGAUAUUCCAAGUAGUCUUCCCAGAGGGUGACUGCGAGUGAGAGAAAGCGGAGGCGGAGGCGGAGCUGUUGUCUGUCAGCUCUCAAUAAACACCAGCUGGUGACAGUGGUAGUGAGAGGAACAAUGGUAUUUCCCUCUCCGGGCCUCAGCUUCACAUUCUACAAGAAGAGAGUGGAACUAAAGGAUUUCUAAGGCCACGUCCGUCACUGAAUGGAAGUGAUUCAAAGAGAUAUAAGCUCUCCAGCUUAAACCCUUCAGACUUCCCAUUACCCAUGGAAUGAAGUUGAAGCUCCUCGGAAAGAGCCUGCAUGGUUGGGUCCCUGCUACCCUCCCAGGUCUCUCUCCUGCCACUUGCUGUCCCAGCCACUCAACAGAACUUGCAUGCACAAUAUCCUUUGCCUCUGGGCUCAGGUGCACAGUCUCCUCUCUGCCUGGCAUCCCCCCUGGAGCCUCUUCACCUGGCUAAGUCCUUCUUCCAGACCUAAAGUUGCUUCUCCCAGGAAGCUCUCUAGCCCCUCAUCCCCAGCCCGCCACUCCCACAGGAUCUGCUGUAACACCUGCUACUUCCGCUAUCAGAGACCUCGUCUCCCCACACUGAUGGUUUUGUCCAACCCCCACCCUCACCAAAGUAGGCAGUAAUGACCAUGUUUGUUUGUUUGUGUUGCCAAAUCCCAAAACCAUCCUUGGCAUAUGAUACGCCCUUAAAAUAUUGGUCAAAGGAAUGUUCAUGAAAUAGCAUUCAGAGACAAAAUACCAAGGAAAAAACGAUAUGCAGAAUAAGUUAUUUUGGGGA